rnacentral:lncRNA from 1 species
CAUCUCGUCAAGAAAUGGGAUGAGGGCUGGGCCGGCAGGUCUUUGGGGCCUGGACCAGGAUCUCCAUGGCUGACACAGUACCUUUAAGGGCUCCCUUUACACGUCGGAAACCUGUCCCCCUCUGUGUGAGUCUGCUAGGGCUUCUGCAACAAAGUUCUACAAACGGGGCAACUGAGACGACAGGUGUGGGCUGCCUCACAGCUCUGGAGGCUGGAAGUCCGAGAUCAAGGUGUGGACAAGCUGGUUUCUCCCGAGGCCUCCCUCCUUUGGCUCACGGAUGGCCAUUGUCUCCCUGUGUCCUCACUGUGUCCUCAUCUCCUCUUCUGUAAGGACCCCAGUCUUACUGGAUUAGGGCCCACCCAGAUGGCUUCAUUUUAACCUGCUGACCUCUUUAAGACUCAAUCUCCGAAUACGUUCUGAGGUAUCAGGGGUUAAGACUUCAACAUACGAACUUGGAGGGAACCCCUUUCAGCACCCGAAGCCCUCUGAGGGACCCAUUUAGCUGCCUAAGCCCAGCUCUAUCUCAGCUCUGAGAGGCUCUGAGCCUGUGACCAGGACCGAUCCACGCGUGAAGUGAGGAGAGUCCUGACAGGGCACCCAUCUUGCCAUGACUCACUCACAACAAAACAUGGAGGAAGUCAGAUGGACGGAUAGCAGGUCUUUUGAAAGCCGGGAAGCCCAUCUCACGUAUUCCAGGGGCUAUGAGAACUAUGAUGCUGCCCCUCAGAAGGAUCGGAAAGACCAAUAAACAGGAUGACUUCCGCUUUUAAGUUGAAAGUGUUUUAUGACUGCAUUUUCUCACCGUCACUGACCAAGCCCAUUCACCAAAGCCCUGAACAGAAGGGUUUUCCCCUCUAACUUUUAAAAACAGCAAACGGCAAAGGAAUGAAUCAUCAAACAGGCAGAACACUCUUCCUAUGACUCUUUUACCUGAGUAAAAACAUUACUUCCUGAAAGCGUGAAAAAAGAGAAAAGUGGCAAGAGGUGACUAACAGGGGUGCCUGGGCUGAUGCACAGAGCUUCGGGACAGCACGAACUUUGGAGGCAGGCGAGGUUACGCGAUGAAAGGAAGGUGGGUGAGCACACGCCCUCAGCUCCCCCAGAGAAAUAAGGCUUGAGGGGACUGUGAGUAAGAGGCUCCCCAAAAAAGAUGUGUAACUGAACAGUGCCACCAACGUGCAGCAGUGGGUUGGGUAUGAGGUUCUAACUACCCUGUGACACAUAUUCACAGAGAAACUGGGUGGCUUUAUUUAAAUGACAAUUUCUGAUUCAUCACUGCCUGCUUGCGGCGCUGCUCAGCAGCAGGGCUCAUGGAUCAGCCCUGUUUAGUCAUGAGCAUGUGCUGGCCCUGCUGGGAAGUGACGGGAAGGUCAGCGACUCACGACGACCACAGAGUUCCAUGGAGGGGACGCAGGGCUGCACGGUGGCCUGGGCUGUGGGUUGAUUUGUGUCUCCCCAAAAAGAUAUGUUGAAGUCCUAGCCCCCAACACCUCUGAAUGGGACCUUAAUGAGAAACAGGGGCAUUGCAGAUGUCCUUAGCUAAGAUGAGGCCAUGCUCCGAGGGUGGGCCCUUAACCCAGUGCGGCCAGUACCUUAAAAGAAGAGACUGGAUCUGGGCACAGAAACAGAGAUAUACAGGAAGAACGUCAUGUGAUGCUGGAACAGAGGGUGCUAUAAAGCAGGGAAUUUCAAGGAUUGCCAGCAAUUCUGAGACCCUGGAGAGGCAAGGAGGGAGUCUCACUACAGGCUUCGGAAGGAGUGUGGCCCUGCUGACACCUUGAUUGCAGAUCUCCAGCCGCCCAACUGAGGAAAUAACUCUGUCGUUGAGUGAACCCAUUCUGUUGUACGCUGUUACACGGCAGCCAUAGGAAACCAAACAGCCCAUCACCCAUUGUGCUGACGACAACACGCUUCCCUCCACACGUGUUUCUGCUCCAUGGCUUCCAAAGCAACGCUCUUCUAAAGGUCUCCACUUUUCGGAUCUUGGCUUUUUUCCAAUGUUCAAAAACCAUACAAGACUUUCAUUGGUCUCCCAUUCUCUUGUGCCAACAUGUUGCACAAAAACCCAUUAGGUCCACGCUGGAGACAAAUCUAUGUGUUUUUCGGUGGGAACCUCUUCUGUAAUCUUGGCUUAUCACCCACCAUCAUGACCUCGAACACAUCUGCAGGCCUUCGUGUCUGCAUCAUACGAAGAUGGACUUGAACUACAGUAAUUUCUAGUCAGAAACACUGGAGACCAUUUCUUCUUCUUUUUUGUCUUUUUGCCUUUUCUAGGGCUACUCCCACAGCAUAUGAAGGUUCCCAGGCUAGGGUCUAAUCGGAGCUGCAGCCGCCAGCCUACGCCACAGCCACAGCAACGCAGGAUCCGAGCUGCGUCUGCAACCUACACCACAGCUCACGGCAACACUGGAUCCUUAACCCACUGAGCAAGGCCAGGGAUCCAACCUGCAACCUCAUGGUUCCUAGUCGGAUUCACUAACCACUGAGCCACGACGGGAACUCCAUGGAGACCAUUCUUGAUUGGUGUUUUAGACUCCAAAGUGAUGAAUAAAAAAGGGAGGAAAACAGGGUAAAUCUCCUUCUCCCUUGUGCUAUUUCUGAGGUCUUGAUCCAAAAAUUAAAGGGAAGAUGUUUGCUCAAUAAACUGUCUAGCCAAGCAGCAACAGGAAAGAGAAAGGAUAUCAAUUUGGAAAUUCAAAGCUCCAACCAUAGAGCUAUGAAUUAAUCAACCAAAAACAUUUUUUUUUUUUUUUUGGUCUUUUUUAAGGCCGCACCCAUGGCAUAUGGAAGUUCCCAGACUAGGGGUCAAAUCGGAGCUGUAGCUGCCAGCCUAUGCCACAACCACAGCAACGCCAGAUCCAAGCCAUGUCUGUAAACUAUACCACAGCUCAUGGCAAUGCCAGAUCCUUAACCCACUGAGCAAAGCCAGGGAUCGAACUUGCGUCCUCAUGUCAACCACCAUUUAUUGAUGUCUACUGAGAGCCUGAAUAUACAAAGGAACAUUGGCCAGAUCAUAUAUAAUAAAAAUAGAGUUCUGACCUACACGCUGCAGUGAGCAGCCCAGAGAACCAUCCAUCAUCUACAGUAACCAGCCCAGGAAGGCAGCCUACUCUAAAUCAGGCUCACAGAAAGUCAGACUACUAUCAGCAGCAACAAUCCAGAAGUCAAAUAAUAACCCCUGUAACAACUGGCCCCAAAUGGCCAGAACUCAAUAACGGAGAGCUUUCCUAAUUUUUGUCCCCACUUCCGUCUUCAGACAAACCAGAGAAAGUCAAAUACACACUCCUCCCCCAUCGCAGGGGACGCCUUGCUUCUAGCUGGCCUGCCUCCAGCUUCGCAGUGGCAAUAGUGUCCAGUGGAGACACUCCUGAAGAUGUCCCCUUUUCCACUAUAAAUCCUCCCCCUCUUCGGCCUGCCUCUGAGUCUCUGCCAGAACCUAAGUGACAGUGGCGGACGCCCUUGCUCAAGGAAGUUCUGAAUAAAUAACCUUUGCUCGUUC